CCUACGGGUGGCAGCAGUGGGGAAUAUUGCACAAUGGGGGAAACCCUGAUGCAGCGACGCCGCGUGAGUGAAGAAGUAUUUCGGUAUGUAAAGCUCUAUCAGCAGGAACGAGACAAGACGGUACCUGACUAAGAAGCCCCGGCUAACUACGUGCCAGCAGCCGCGGUAAUACGUAGGGGGCAAGCGUUAUCCGGAAUCACUGGGUGUAAAGGGAGCGUAGACGGCUGUGCAAGCCUGAUGUGAAAGCCCGCGGCCCAACCGCGGGACUGCAUUGGGAACUACCGGGCUGGAGUGCCGGAGAGGUAGGCGGAAUUCCUAGUGUAGCGGUGAAAUGCGUAGAUAUUAGGAGGAACACCAGUGGCGAAGGCGGCCUACUGGACGGUGACUGACGCUGAGGCUCGAAAGCGUGGGGAGCAAACAGGAUUAGAUACCCUAGUAGUC
rnacentral:rRNA from 1 species